rnacentral:lncRNA from 1 species
AGGGGAUUUAGCUCAGUGGUUCCACCGCCUGCCUCGCAAGUGCAAGGUCCCGAGUUUGAUCCCUGGUACCAAAAAAAAGAACAGUGAAGUCUUUAAAAAUAUUUUAACAAUAUUGUUGAGCAUCUAUUAUUUUUUAAAAUACCAGCAAUUUUUUUUUCAAAAACCAAGCUCUUCAUUUUAUUGAUAUUUGGUAUUUUUUGCUAGUCUUAAUUUCAUUUAAUUACUGGCUAAAAUCAGACACAUAGAACUGUGAAACAGUCAACCUAUGCAUUUACAGUCCACCAAUCCUUGAUGAAGACACCAGGAAUAGACAACGGGGAAAGGUAGUUUCAUGAAAUCUUAGUGCUGGGAAAACUGGAUUUCCACAGGCUGAAGAAUGAAAUUGGACUUUAUCUUGCAUCAUAGAGGAAACAGGCUCAAAAUGGAUUAAAGACAAAUGUAAGACCUGAAAUCCUAAAAGUAUAAGAAGACAGAGGGAAUGAGGUUUUUCGCGUGGAUAUUAGCAAUGAUUUUUCUUUUUAAUUUGACAGAAAAACACAGGCUGCCUGGAGACUUUGGUGGCAGGAACUUCUCUGUCUUUCUGUUGCAGUCCAGAACCUAACCUUGAGCUUGCAACAUAGUGUGUGCCCGGCAUCAGAGGAAUCAAUGGGCAGCAUAGUACUCUGUGACUCGCUGGCCCAGUGACUGUGUGGGCUGAGGCAGAGAUGCUACUGGAAAGGUUGCCCCAGCUCUCCAAUCGGAAGGCCCAGUGGGUACUGCUCAUUCAGAUGAUACCAAACAGGGAAAGUGCUAUCUUUCCAGAUCCUGCUGUGCUGGUGAGGGAGGAAGAUCUUGUGAUCAGACGUUGUGCAGUCCUAGUGUGGGUAUCAGCUUUCCCGGAGGCAAAGGGUCAGUCUUCACCUGCUGCCUUGCUUUCUCUGCUGCUGUGUACCCAUUGCUCCUACAGAGGGCCUGGACUGAAGGACCCUAGUUAGCAAGACAGACUCCAUAUUGCUGCUGAGCGACCCACCUGCCUGGCCUUUAGAUGAACUCAAAAGGAGGAAGCUUAGGAACCUCCUCCCCUUAGAGAGUCUCUUAGAAACAACAAUUAAUCAACUAUUGUUUUACAGAUGUUCUAAAGACAGGAUGUUCCGCUUCUGUACCUUUUGCUUGCUUUGCUAGUUCUGUCCCAUAGUGGGGACUAGAAACUGCUGGCCUCAAAGGUAUAUAAAAUAUGUUAAUCUCUCCCAGUCUGGGCUCAAGUCUGAUGCUCGGCUCAGUCCUGGCAGGUAAUAAACUCCUGUGUGGAUUUAAUAUCGGUCUCUGGUUGGUUCUUUCUCACUGGUUGCAACAUGGACCACAAGGGUGGGCCU